GACGAACGCUGGCGGCGUGCUUACACAUGCAAGUCGAACGGAAAGGCCCUGCUUUUGUGGGGUGCUCGAGUGGCGAACGGGUGAGUAACACGUGAGUAACCUGCCCUUGACUUUGGGAUAACUUCAGGAAACUGGGGCUAAUACCGGAUAGGAGCUCCUGCUGCAUGGUGGGGUUUGGAAAGUUUCGGCGGUUGGGGAUGGACUCGCGGCUUAUCAGCUUGUUGGUGGGGUAGUGGCUUACCAAGGCUUUGACGGGUAGCCGGCCUGAGAGGGUGACCGGCCACAUUGGGACUGAGAUACGGCCCAGACUCCUACGGGAGGCAGCAGUGGGGAAUAUUGCACAAUGGGCGGAAGCCUGAUGCAGCAACGCCGCGUGCGGGAUGACGGCCUUCGGGUUGUAAACCGCUUUCGCCUGUGACGAAGCGUGAGUGACGGUAAUGGGUAAAGAAGCACCGGCUAACUACGUG
rnacentral:rRNA from 1 species